rnacentral:tRNA from 1 species
GGUGAGUGUAGUUCAGUUGGUAGAGCACCAGGUUGUGAUCCUGGGUGUCGCGGGUUCGAGUCCCGUCCUCACCCCA